AUGAAUUGACGGGGACCCGCACAAGUAGUGGAGCAUGUGGUUUAAUUCGAAGAUACGCGCAGAACCUUACCAACACUUGACAUGUUCGUCGCGACUCUAAGAGAUUAGAAUUUUCGGUUCGGCCGGACGAAACACAGGUGCUGCAUGGCUGUCGUCAGCUCGUGUCGUGAGAUGUUGGGUUAAGUCCCGCAACGAGCGCAACCCUCACUUUUAGUUGCCAUCAUUUAGUUGGGCACUCUGAAAGAACUGCCAGUGAUAAGCUGGAGGAAGGUGGGGAUGACGUCAAGUCCUCAUGGCCCUUACGUGUUGGGCUACACACGUGCUACAAUGGCAUUUACAAUAGGAAGCAAAACGGCAACGUAGAGCAAAUCCUAAAAAAAUGCCUCAGUUCGGAUUGUACUCUGCAACUCGAGUACAUGAAGCUGGAAUUACUAGUAAUCGCGGAUCAGCGCGCCGCGGUGAAUACGUUCCCGGGUCUUGUACACACCGCCCGUCACACCAUGGGAGUUGGUUCUACCUUAAGGCAAAGCUUAAAACCUUUGACCACGGUAUAGUCAGCGACUGGGGUGAAGUCGUAACAAGGUA
rnacentral:rRNA from 1 species